rnacentral:rRNA from 1 species
AUUGAACGCUGGCGGAAUGCUUUACACAUGCAAGUCGAGCGGCAGCGCGGGGCAACCUGGCGGCGAGCGGCGAACGGGUGAGUAAUGCAUCGGAACAUGUCCAUGUCGUGGGGGAUAGCCCGGCGAAAGCCGGAUUAAUACCGCAUACGCCCGAGAGGGGAAAGUGGGGACCGCAAGGCCUCACGCGAUUGGGUUGGCCGAUGUCCGAUUAGCUAGUUGGUGGGGUAAAGGCUUACCAAGGCGAUGAUCGGUAGCUGGUCUGAGAGGAUGAUCAGCCACACUGGGACUGAGACACGGCCCAGACUCCUACGGGAGGCAGCAGUGGGGAAUUUUGGACAAUGGGGGCAACCCUGAUCCAGCCAUUCCGCGUGAGUGAAGAAGGCC